UACGGGGGGUGCGAGCGUUGUCCGGAAUCACUGGGCGUAAAGGGCGCGUAGGCGGCCUGAUAAGUAGGGGGUGAAAUCCUGCGGCUUAACCGCAGGGCUGCCUUCUAAACUGUCAGGCUCGAGCACAGUAGAGGCAGGUGGAAUUCCCGGUGUAGCGGUGGAAUGCGUAGAGAUCGGGAAGAACACCAAUGGCGAAGGCAGUCGGCUGGGCCGUUGCUGACACUGAGGCGCGACAGCGUGGGGAGCAAACAGG
rnacentral:rRNA from 1 species